UUUUAGUUUUGGAUUUGUGAAUUUCGGAGCCAAAUUUGAGCAACGACAAUGGCCGGCCAACCGGAGAAGAAGCCACAAUCUGUCUAUGACUUUAGUCUAAAGGACGCGACAGGAAAUGAUGUAGACCUUAGUAUCUUCAAAGGAAAAGUACUACUUAUCGUGAAUGUUGCUUCCAAAUGCGGGAUGACUAACUCAAACUACACGGAACUCAACCAAUUAUAUGAGAAGUACAAAG
rnacentral:misc_RNA from 1 species